GAUGAACGCUGACAGAAUGCUUAACACAUCAGCAAUUGAUUGGUGGCGGACGGGUGAGUAACGCGUAAAGAACUUGCCUCACAGCUAGGGAGAACAUUUGGAAACGAAUGCUAAUACCUCAUACUGUGAGAGGGCUUUGCGUCCCAUUAGCUAGUUGGAGAGGUAACGGCUCACCAAGGCGAGGAUGGGUAGCCGGCCUGAGAGGGUGAUCGGCCACAAGGGGACAGGGAAACGGCCAUUACGCAUACGGGAGGCAGGAGUGGGAAAUAGUGGAAGAUAGACCAAAGUCUGAUCAAGGAAUUCUGUGUGCACGAUGAAGUUGUGGGAAGGAAAAGUGCUUUCAGUUGGGAAGCGGUACCAACAGAAGAAGUGACGGCUAAAUACGUGCCAGCAGCCGCGGUAAUUC
rnacentral:rRNA from 1 species